GGAAUAGUCUGGAAUGCAAAGAGAUACUAGCUAGGCUGAUCCUGUUCUCUUCCAAGGCCACUGCAGAGCCAGAGCAUUGUAUUCAGAGCUCUCUAGAGAAAGGAGGGGGUGAGAAGCAAUCGGGAGCCAUCUGUGCUGCAGAAGAUCAAAGAAUUGUGGCACUGUUAACGAAGAAGCCAAUUAUUGGAAGGAAAGUUACAUUCAUUUGUAUCACCAGUCUAUACUGUUGAAAACGAGCCAGGAGCAGUAUAUACAGAUGGCUCAAGAACUUCUUGCGUCCCAAAUAGAAGGAUUGAAAACGGCCUACAUCUUCCAGCCCCACCAUCACCCUUAAAUAACUGGCUCUGCCAAUACAGAUUAACAGUUACAUCCAGGGAACAAAUGAAAAGAGAUGAUUCCAGCAAGAAAGACU